rnacentral:lncRNA from 1 species
UGUCAUCUUGACUCAUGAUAGUGUAAGAGAUGAAUGAUUCAAUCCAACUAGUUGGCUACAACCAUCAGGCACAUACUGACUAAAAACAAAAAUAUCCAUUGAUGAGCUCAGUUCAAAUAUUAUUCGGCAUUUAGCCGGCCUUAACACAUAAAACUAGAUCAUUUGAUUUGGUUUAUGUUUUAAUUUUAGACUAAAGUUUGAGUGGAUAUAUUUUCAUACUAAAUGCAAGACUAUAUGACCUGAUAUAUUGAACAAAAUAUUUCCAAAGAAUAUUUCUAUUUAAUCCGUCAUCCAUCAUCCUAUUUUCAAUUUGAUCCUGCCCG